AUUGAACGCUGGCGGCAGGCCUAACACAUGCAAGUCGAGCGGUAGCACAGAGCUUGUUCCUCCAUUCAUCGGCGGCGGGGGGCGUAAUGCCUAGGACUGUGAAAGGUCGUGGUGGAUAGCGAUCGCUACUGGGAGCUGAUGCUGCUACCGCCUUGCGUGGCAAAGCCGGAGAUCGUGGGCUUCCACGCUCUCAGAUGAAGCUAGGUCGGAUUAGCUAGUUGGUGGGGUAAUGGCCUACCCAGGCGACGAUCCGUAACUGGUCUGAGAGGAUGAUCAGUCACACUGGAACUGAGACACGGUCCAGACUCCUACGGGAGGCAGCAGUGGGGAAUAUUGCACAAUGGGCGAAAGCCUGAUCCAGCCAUGCCGCGUGUGUGAAGAAGGUCUUCGGAUUGUAAAGCACUUUAAGUGGGGAGGAAGGUCAGUAAGUUAAUACCUUGAUGUAUUGACGUUACCAACAGAAGAAGCACCGGCUAACUUCGUG
rnacentral:rRNA from 1 species